AGCGGGGCCUGAUGGAGGGAGGGGAAAAGGGGGGGAGGCUCAAACGCCGCUGAGGAGGUGUCGCCGAUGGGUUUUGGGUUUAAAUAAUAAAAUUAUAGCUUAGAUGAGAAAUAGGUUGCCUGAUGCCUGUGGUGGAGCCUCCCAGGAGGCCUGGCAGCCCACAGGCAGCCCUGUGAGAAACGCGGGAUUUGGGUACAGAUGCAGCAGAAUUGGGUCUGAGGAGGGGAAAAAUUGGGAAGGGUCCAGGGAGAGGAGAAGGGGGUAAGAAGUGGGCAAGCGGUGUCAUCAGGGUGGUUUGGGGACCAGCCAGGACAGCGACACCGGGAGGUGCCAGCUGCUUCACGAGGAAGAUGGAAAAUAAAAAAUAAAAUAAUAAAAUAAAAUUUGAAAGAAAUAACCAGUUCUGCUUGUAUUUGUGGCCAUGACCCUGCACACAUCGAGGUGGGUGAGCAGGGUGUUGCGGUGCUGGAGGUGCAGGGUUUGGGUGGGAUAGAUACUGGUGUGGGGACAAACUGCACCCAGAGGUGCCGUGCAAACCCCAUCUGCAGUGAUGAGUUUAUUAAUUUGCCUUCGUGUCUUGGCACCUCAACUUCAACAGGAUGAAGACACUGUUGUGUCAAUCAUCAUAAAGCCAAGAAUUUAAACAGCACGACCACUCCAAGGAUCCUGCCCCAAUAUAUGGACUCUCCAGUCUGACAUGGACUUCUCAGCAGGACCUAAUACAAGCUACGUAUCAGUCACGGGUGAAGGGUCGUUCCCAAACUUGCGUGGAGCCGUGCUGAGUGUGUACCAACAUCUGUCAAAGCCAUCUGUGAUCACGAGAAGCCAAACUGAUCAAAAAGCGGGAUUGUCAUGUUUCAUUUACUUUUUAAUAAAGUUAUGAUCUGAA